rnacentral:rRNA from 1 species
CAGCCGCCGCGGGAAUACGUAGGUGGCAAGCGUUGUCCGGAAUUAUUGGGCGUAAAGGGCUCGCAGGCGGUUUCUUAAGUCUGAUGUGAAAGCCCCCGGCUCAACCGGGGAGGGUCAUUGGAAACUGGGAAACUUGAGUGCAGAAGAGGAGAGUGGAAUUCCACGUGUAGCGGUGAAAUGCGUAGAGAUGUGGAGGAACACCAGUGGCGAAGGCGACUCUCUGGUCUGUAACUGACGCUGAGGAGCGAAAGCGUGGGGAGCGAACAGGAUUAGAUACCCGAGUAGUCCCUGUCUCUUAUAA